rnacentral:tRNA from 1 species
GGAGUUGUGGCUCAGCGGUAGAGCACUCGUCUAGCAAGUGGGAGGCCCUGGGUUCGAUCCUCAGCACCA